rnacentral:lncRNA from 1 species
GAGAAUGUUCUACAUAUGAACAAGUCCCAUUUUAGUUGAAUAAGAUGAUAAUGAAACUCAAGAGGAAGACCAACUUAUUUUCUCAAAAAGAUUAAAAGUAAAUAAAUUUAAGGCCUUUUGUUUAUUAAAAGUUUGGCGUUUGAUCACUAAUUUUAUUGAGCCACCUCAGCAUAAACGCAUACUCCAUAUGCAAGACUGUUCCAAGUCUUGUCUUUUAAGGAAUUCAAAGACGCAUCUUCUGAUAGUAGCAAAGACACUUUUGAGAACCAAUAUCAUCUUCUAAGCAAGGAGGCACAAUUGUUCCAACCUGGUACCAUUUUUCCCUCUCCUGCAUUAAAUCCUUGAAGAAAUUGUCUAUCGUUUCUCUAGUGAUGCCUGGCAUAACAACAAUGUGUGCCAUAUCUCUUGUGCAAGACAGUUGCCAUUGGCGAGUUCACUUAGGGUCAUUAGGUCGUUCAAAGACGACGAUAAUGCUAAACUCAUUGAGCAUAGUGCUAAUUCCUGCUUUAUGAAGCCGGCCUUUCAAAUAUCGAGCUCUUUCAUUGCACAUUUUGGCUCGAUAUUUCUGCUGGACUUACUAAUGCUCUUUCGUUUUUGUUUUUGUUUUUGUUUUUUCUCUCCUUCAAUGAGCCGAUGGUCGAUUGGAAACAGCCUCUUUGCCCUUUCGGGUAGGGGUAAGGCUCGUCUACCGCAUCUUCUGAUAACAGCAAAGACAGUUUUGAGAACCAAUAUCAUCUUCUAGGCAAGGAGGCACAGUUAUUCCAACCUGAUACCAUUUGUCCCUCUCCUGCAUUAAAUCCUUGAAGAAAUUGUCUAUCGUUUCUCUGGUGAUACCUGGCAUAACCACAACGUGUGCCAUAUCUCUUGUGCAAGACAGUUGCCAUUUGCGAGUGAACUUAGGGUCAUUAGGUCGUUCAAAGACGACGAUAAUGCUAAACUCAUUGAGCAUAGCGCUAAUUCCUGCUUUAUGAA